GGUUUAGCCAAUCCCAUAAAUCUGUUCUCAGUUCGGAUCGCAGUCUGCAACUCGACUGCGUGAAGCUGGAAUCGCUAGUAAUCGCGGAUCAGCAUGCCGCGGUGAAUACGUUCCCGGGCCUUGUACACACCGCCCGUCACACCACGAGAGUUUGUAACACCCGAAGUCGGUGAGGUAACCUUUAUGGAGCCAGCCGCCGAAGGUGGGACAGAUGAUUGGGGUGAAGUCGUAACAAGGUAGCCGUAUCGGAAGGUGCGGCUGGAUCACCUCCUUUCUAAGGA
rnacentral:rRNA from 1 species